rnacentral:rRNA from 1 species
AGAGACCGGCGCACGGGUGCGUAACGCGUAUGCAAUCUACCUUUUACAGCGGGAUAGCCCAGAGAAAUUUGGAUUAAUACCGCAUAGUAUAGCAGUUUCGCAUGAGACCACUAUUAAAGUCACAACGGUAAAAGAUGAGCAUGCGUCCCAUUAGUUAGUUGGUAAGGUAACGGCUUACCAAGACUACGAUGGGUAGGGGUCCUGAGAGGGAGAUCCCCCACACUGGUACUGAGACACGGACCAGACUCCUACGGGAGGCAGCAGUGAGGAAUAUUGGACAAUGGGCGCAAGCCUGAUCCAGCCAUGCCGCGUGCAGGAUGACGGUCCUAUGGAUUGUAAACUGCUUUUAUACGAGAAGAAACACUACUUCGUGAAGUAGCUUGACGGUAUCGUAAGAAUAAGGAUCGGCUAACUCCGUGCCAGCAGCCGCGGUAAUACGGAGGAUCCAAGCGUUAUCCGGAAUCAUUGGGUUUAAAGGGUCCGUAGGCGGUUUAGUAAGUCAGUGGUGAAAGCCCAUCGCUCAACGGUGGAACGGCCAUUGAUACUGCUAGACUUGAAUUAUUAGGAAGUAACUAGAAUAUGUAGUGUAGCGGUGAAAUGCUUAGAGAUUACAUGGAAUACCAAUUGCGAAGGCAGGUUACUACUAAUGGAUUGACGCUGAUGGACGAAAGCGUGGGUAGCGAACAGGAUUAGAUACCCUGGUAGUCCACGCCGUAAACGAUGGAUACUAGCUGUUGGGCGCAAGUUCAGUGGCUA